rnacentral:misc_RNA from 1 species
CAUAAGCAGCAAAUAAGAGCUUUAUAUGUAAUAGGAUCGGGUUUGAGAUUCCCACGAACCAUCUCAGUUUUUACAAGAAUUGCAUCAGCUACACUAUCAUUUUUGCAGAGAGAUUGAAUGAGUUUGUUGUAGAUUUCCACACCAGGCACAUAACCACGCUGAGAGAUUCUUUCCAUAAGACUCUUUGCUGCAAACGGCCGAUCCUCCUUGCAGACAGAAACUAUUAGAUAAUCAUAAAUAUCCCA